CUCAUGCUAUGCUAAGCUACGCUAUGCUCUACUGUGCUCUACUCUGCUAUGCUUUGUACAUAAACACUACUUAAAAUCUAUUUUUAUGAUGACAACCGAGAUGCAUAUGGAGGAUCACCAGUGAAAAAGCCAAGACCUUGUGCAAGGGUUUCAGAAAGGCUGUUACCAAUUAAAAAAGGCUUGAUGUCCAACUCCUCAAAGAAUCUGAUGCAUCGAGGCACAAAACAAACUCUGCAAGAGACACACAGAGCAAAGGCAAAGAAAAGGCAGCUGUGUCAAUCAAGCAGAGUCCAUCCAAAACAUGGGCGUGAUACAUACCAGCAGUCCCCUGCUCUGGCGGUACUCUUCCACCACCAGUUCGAUGUUCUCCACAAGACCAAACUCACACAACCAGUGGACAGUGAACAGUUCCUUGAGAUGGACACCUUCCAUGCAAAGGUUGACGCGCAAUAAAUCAAUAUCCAUGAUCUUUUAAGAAUAAGACAGAGAAGAAACUGUGAAAGGAGAAUUUGGAUUUCUUGAAAUGCGCACGCUAUAUUAAAAAUGGUCAGCUUUCUAUUGGCCUUUGAAGUGAACGACAUACUGCAACCUACACCGAAGUCCUGUUUUAGGAAGGCCUCUUCAAAUGGCUUCCUCUGGAUCUUCCCCGAUCCGAGCGCACAGGCAAUGGACUGGUGGAAAACAAAACAAAACAAAAUGAAAUGUCAUUUAGCAUCCGUGCCCUUCCGAAGCAUGUGCACGACGGUGAAGCGUGCGCACGACGGCCAAGCAUGUGCACGACGACAAAGAAAAAAAAAAAACACAACCCCGAGAUUCCUCAAUUCCUAGUCACACGCAACCGGUCAUCAACUAGGCACUAGGCUGCAAAAAGAAAAAGAGGAAGAUCUGAGUUGUUCUAAGGACCGAGGCCCUUUUUUUAAGUUGGGGCAAAGAAGUGGGGAAAAUCAGGUUGAAGGUGCCGCGCCGCACCGCACCGCACCGCACCGCACCGCAGAGAGACCACAGCGCAGCG